GAGGGUGUAGCUCAGUGGUAGAGCAUAUGCUUAGCAUGCAUGAGGUCCUGGGCUCAAUCCCCAGUACCUCCA
rnacentral:tRNA from 1 species